CUGAUGCAGCCAUGCCGCGUGUAUGAAGAAGGCCUUCGGGUUGUAAAGUACUUUCAGUUGUGAGGAAGGGGGUGUUGUUAAUAGCAACAUCUCUUGACGUUAGCAACAGAAGAAGCACCGGCUAACUCCGUGCCAGCAGCCGCGGUAAU
rnacentral:rRNA from 1 species